GACGAACGCUGGCGGCGUGCUUAACACAUGCAAGUCGAACGGAAAGGCCCUGCUUGCAGGGUACUCGAGUGGCGAACGGGUGAGUAACACGUGGGUGAUCUGCCCUGCACUUCGGGAUAAGCCUGGGAAACUGGUUCUAAUACCGGAUAGGAGCCAUCUUUAGUGUGUUGGUUGGAAAGUUUUUUCGGUGUAGGAUGAGCUCGCGGCCUAUCAGCUUGUUGGUGGGGUAAUGGCCUACCAAGGCGGCGACGGGUAGCCCGACUGAGAGGGUGGACGGCCACAUUGGUUCUGUGAUACGGACCAGAAUUCUACGGGAGGAAGCAGUGGGGAGUGUUGCGCAAUGGGCGCGAGGCUGAUGCAGCGAAGCCUCGUGGCGGAUGCUGGCCUUCGGGUUGUAAACUCCUUUCGCUAGGGACGAAGCGUUUUGUGAAGGUAACUAGAGAAGAAGCACCGGCUAAAUACGUG
rnacentral:rRNA from 1 species